rnacentral:lncRNA from 1 species
AAAUAAAGAUUAUUUUGGUUUCAAGAGACUAAACUAUGAUAACAAAUGACAUGGAAGGGUAUGGGAAGGAUCGAAUCAACUCCUAUAACCUACUCAACAUUAUCCAAUACCGAAACUUAACCGCUUAGAAAACUCCUCCCUCUAAUUAAAUUUACAAUCCGAAAAGGAAUGCAAAAAUAAAGAUUAGAAAAAAUAAAAAAAUAAAAUAAAAAAU